GUGGGGAAUAUUGCACAAUGGGGGGAACCCUGAUGCAGCGACGCCGCGUGAGUGAAGAAGUCAUUCGUGAUGUAAAGCUCUAUCAGCAGGGAAGAAAAUGACGGUACCUGACUAAGAAGCCCCGGCUAACUACGUGCCAGCAGCCGCGGUAAUACGUAGGGGGCAAGCGUUAUCCGGAUUUACUGGGUGUAAAGGGAGCGUAGACGGCAUAGCAAGUCCGGAGUGAAAGCCCGGGGCCCAACCCCGGGACUGCUCUGGAAACUGUUAAGCUUGAGUGCGGGAGGGGCAGGCGGAAUUCCUGGUGUAGCGGUGAAAUGCGUAGAUAUCAGGAGGAACACCGGCGGCGAAGGCGGCCUGCUGGACCGUAACUGACGUUGAGGCUCGAAAGCGUGGGGAGCAAACAGG
rnacentral:rRNA from 1 species